rnacentral:rRNA from 1 species
UGAGGAAUAUUGGUCAAUGGACGCAAGUCUGAACCAGCCAAGUAGCGUGCAGGAUGACGGCCCUAUGGGUUGUAAACUGCUUUUAUAUGGGGAUAAAGUGGGGAACGUGUUCCCUUUUGCAGGUACCAUAUGAAUAAGGACCGGCUAAUUCCGUGCCAGCAGCCGCGGUAAUACGGAAGGUUCGGGCGCUAUCCGGAUUUAUUGGGUUUAAAGGGAGCGUAGGCCGUUUGGUAAGCGUGUUGUGAAAUGUAGGAGCUCAACUUCUAGAUUGCAGCGCGAACUGUCAGACUUGAGUGCGCACAACGUAGGCGGAAUUCAUGGUGUAGCGGGGAAAUGCUUAGAUAUCAUGAAGAACUCCGAUUGCGAAGGCAGCUUACGGGAGCGCAACUGACGCUGAAGCUCGAAGGUGCGGGUAUCGAACAGG